CUUGUUUGUUCUCAGCAAGAGCAUCGACUGGCAUAACAUGCCUGACUUUUUUAUUCACAACUUUGCAUCAGACACUGCAGGAGCCAUAGUGGAGAUGAUUAAGAAAGAACCCCGGGACUCUCUCUCCAGCACCAUACGGCUCCAGGCCAUGGCCAUCAUUAUCGAGCUGAGCAAAAAGCAUGUGGUGAAGGCCAUGGGCUCCCACCAGAGAUGGGUCCUGCUGAGAACAUUCCUCAAGAGCGUGUUUUCC